CGAUUCUGUUCUUAACUGAAUGGAGUAGCUAUCUUUCGGGGUGGUCAGUUGGUUGUUAUAUCUCCACUAAUGAGCAGAGAGGGGUUAAAACCUUCAAAGUAAGUUAUGUGGGUCAAGGUAUAAUGAUUAAUUGGAGUUCUAGUUCAUUUACUUUGAGAAAAUUAGAGUGUUUAAAGCAGCCUCUUGGGGCACUGAAUACAUUAGCAUGGGAUAAUAAAAUAGGAUCUUCACAAUAUAUUUUAUUGGUUUAAAUUGCGUAUGAAGAUAAUGAUUAAUAGGGACAGUUGGGGGUAUUCAUAUUGGGUGGUUAGCGGUGAAAUGCUCGGAUCCAUUCAAGAUGAACUAAAGCGAAAGCAUUUACCAAGGAUGUUUUCAUUAAUCAAGAACGAAAAGUUAAGGGAUACGAAGACGAUUAGAUACCGUCGUAGUCUUAACUAUAAACUAUG
rnacentral:rRNA from 1 species